CGCUUAACCUGGUCUCUUCAUCUUAAAGACAAGCGUAAGAAACUUAACUCCAGACUCCAUCUGUUAAAGCCACUACUUCGUUCCAACCUAACCAUACCGAUCAAAAUCAAAAUCAUGUUGGGAAAUAUACAUAGUACGAGUAAUGUUUGUAGAAAAUAUAAUAGUAUACUAUGAGUAAUGUAGUAUAUUACACCCAAAGAAGACCAAUAUAAUACAGUAUUGCCUUUUUUGUCCGAGAAUUUUUAAACUACUUCGGUGCCACUGACGUAUAUAUUAUUGGAAAAUAUCAGUUUCGAGCAUGUGG